AAUAGAUACCCUGGUAGUCCACGCCGUAAACGAUAAUCACUAGACGUCAGUCUGGCUAUGCCGGAUUGGUGUCGAAGCUAACGCGUUAAGUGAUUCGCCUGGGGAGUACGGUCGCAAGAUUAAAACUCAAAUGGAAUUGACGGGGGUCCGCACAAGCGGUGGAACAUGUGGUUUAAUUCGACACUACGCGAGGAACCUUACCUAGGCUUGACAUGCAUUUGACAGUUGUAGAAAUACAAUUUUUUGGGCUUCGGUCCAGACGGAUGCACAGGUGGUGCAUGGCUGUCGUCAGCUCGUGUCGUGAGAUGUUGGGUUAAGUCCUCUAACGAGCGCAACCCUUACUGCCAGUUGCAACUUGCGUAAGCAAGGCACUCUGGCGGGACUGCCUGGGGAAACCAGGAGGAAGGCGGGGACGACGUCAAGUCAUCAUGCUCCUUAUGUCUAAGGCUACACACGUGUUACAAUGGUCGGUACAGAGGGCUGCAAUCCGUAAGGUGGAGCUAAUCCCUAAAGCCGAUCUAAGUUCGGAUUG
rnacentral:rRNA from 1 species